rnacentral:rRNA from 1 species
UACGACUACAUAUCAGGCAUUCAAUAAGCGGAGGAAAAGAAACUAACUAGGAUUCCCUCAGUAACGGCGAGUGAAGCGGGAAGAGCUCAAAUUUGAAAUCUUCAAGGUUUUACCUUGACGAAUUGUAGUUUAAAGAAGGUGUUUUCUGUUGGAGUUUUGGUAAAAGUUCUUUGGAAUAGGACAUCAUAGAGGGUGAGAAUCCCGUAUUUGACCAUUAUUUCCAGCUGUGUGAUACACUUUCAAAGAGUCGGAUUGUUUGGGAAUGCAGUCCAAAAUGGGUGGUAAAUUUCAUCUAAAGCUAAAUACUGGCGAGAGACCGAUAGCGAACAAGUACCGUGAGGGAAAGAUGAAAAGAACUUUGAAAAGAGAGUUAAACAGUACGUGAAAUUGUCAAAAGGGAAGCGUUUGACACCAGUGUUGUUUUCUCGAAAAUCAAUUAAAAAAUGAUUGGAUUUUGUGUUGUAUUGACUUUAUCAGCUUUCUGCACUUUUUCUUGUCUUUUUUAAUGCACUUUUCGUUUAACAAGUCAACAUCAAUUUCUUUUGUUGUAAAAGGGUCAUUGGAAGGUGGCUUUCACUUCGGUGAAAGUGUUUAUAGCCUUUGACUUCUGCAAUCGGAGAGAUUGAGGUCUGCAGCGUAGAUCCUUCGGGGUUAGAUACAUUUGUGCUAAGUUAUAGUUUUUCAUAGACAACAUGUUGACUAUGAUUAAUCAUGUAGCUUACUCGCUUAUGCUAUUUUACCUACGCUUAGGAUGUUGACGCGCGUGUGUGCGUG